AUUGAACGCUGGCGGCAGGCCUAACACAUGCAAGUCGAGCGGUAACACAGGGAGCUUGCUCCCGGGUGACGAGCGGCGGGCGGGUGAGUAAUGUCUGGGAAACUGCCUGAUGGAGGGGGAUAACUACUGGAAACGGUAGCUAAUACCGCAUAACGUCGCAAGACCAAAGAGGGGGACCUUCGGGCCUCUUGCCAUCAGAUGUGCCCAGAUGGGAUUAGCUAGGAGGUGGGGUAACGGCUCACCUAGGCGACGAUCCCUAGCUGGUCUGAGAGGAUGGCCAGCCAAACUGGAAGUGAGACACGGUCCAGACUCCUACGGGAGGCGGCAGUGGGGAAUAUUGCACAAUGGGCGCAAGCCUGAUGCAGCCAUGCCGUGUGUAUGAAGAGGGCCUUCGGGUUGUAAAGUACUUUCAGCGGGGAGGAAGGUGUUGAGGUUAAUAACCUCAGCAAUUGACGUUACCCGCAGAAGAAGCACCGGCUAACUCCGUGCCAGCCGCCGCAGUAACAC
rnacentral:rRNA from 1 species